GACGAACGCUGGCGGCGUGCUUAACACAUGCAAGUCGAACGGAAAGGCCCUGCUUUUGUGGGGUGCUCGAGCGGCGAACGGGUGAGUAACACGUGAGUAACCUGCCCUUGACUUUGGGAUAACUUCAGGAAACUGGGGCUAAUACCGGAUAGGAGCUCCUGCUGCAUGGUGGGGGUUGGAAAGUUUCGGCGGUUGGGGAUGGACUCGCGGCUUAUCAGCUUGUUGGUGGGGUAGUGGCUUACCAAGGCUUUGACGGGUAGCCGGCCUGAGAGGGUGACCGGCCACAUUGGGACUGAGAUACGGCCCAGACUCCUACGGGAGGCAGCAGUGGGGAAUAUUGCACAAUGGGCGGAAGCCUGAUGCAGCAACGCCGCGUGUGGGAUGACGGCCUUCGGGUUGUAAACCGCUUUCGCCUGUGACGAAGCGUGAGUGACGGUAAUGGGUAAAGAAGCACCGGCUAACUACGUG
rnacentral:rRNA from 1 species